GGGGUUGUGGCUCAGUGGUAGAGAGCUUGCCUAGCACGUAUGGGGUCCUGGGUUCCAUCCUCAGCAACACAU
rnacentral:tRNA from 1 species